GACGAACGCUGGCGGCGUGCUUAACACAUGCAAGUCGAACGGAAAGGCCCUGCUCUUGUGGGGCGCUCGAGUGGCGAACGGGUGAGUAAAACGCGAGUAAACUGCCCUUGACUUUGGGAUAACUCCAGGAAAAUGGGGCUAAUAUCGGAUAGGAGCUCCUGAUGCACGGUGGGGGUUGGAAAGUUUCGGCGGUUGGGGCUGGAAUCGCGGCUUAUCCGCCUGAUGGUGGGGUAUGGGAUUACCAAGGCUUCGACGGGUAGCCGGCCUGAGAGGGUGACCGGCCACAUUGGGACUGCGAGACGGCGCAGAAUGCAACGGGAGGCAGAAGUGGGGAGUAUGGCACAAUGAGGGGAAGCGAGAGGCGGCAACGCCGCGUGCGGGAUGACGUCCUUCGGGUGGUAAACCGCUGUCGCCUUAGACGAAGCGGUAGUGACGGUAAUGGGUAAAGAAGCACCGGCUAACUACGUG
rnacentral:rRNA from 1 species